rnacentral:rRNA from 1 species
AGAGUUUGAUUUCCUGCUCAGGACGAACGCUGGCGGCGUGCUUAACACAUGCAAGUCGAACGAUGAACCUGGAGCUUGCUCUAGGGAAUUAGUGGCGAACGGGUGAGUAACACGUGAGUAACCUGCCCUUGACUCUGGGAUAACCUCCGGAAACGGAAGCUAAUACCGGAUAUGACGCACGGAGGCAUCUCCUGUGCGUGGAAAGAACUUCGGUCAAGGAUGGACUCGCGGCCUAUCAGGUAGUUGGUGAGGUAACGGCUCACCAAGCCUACGACGGGUAGCCGGCCUGAGAGGGUGACCGGCCACACUGGGACUGAGACACGGCCCAGACUCCUACGGGAGGCAGCAGUGGGGAAUAUUGCACAAUGGGCGCAAGCCUGAUGCAGCAACGCCGCGUGAGGGACGACGGCCUUCGGGUUGUAAACCUCUUUUAGUAGGGAAGAAGCGAAAGAGACGUACCUGCAGAAAA